rnacentral:ncRNA from 1 species
AUAAUGGUGAAGAACCGGAACCAGUAAGACGAUUUUCCUCUGUAGCGAGCCGAUGGUUGGUGCGAAUCGGCGGGGGCAUCGUUUGAAACUCGUCCGGGGAGCCGGUCGCCCGCAACCAGGGAGGGCGAUCCGCAGGUCGGCGUUAACGGCAUAGUGCCGGAGCAAUCCGGAAUCAAGGUGGCACCACGGUCAUUCGAUCGUCCUUCAG